UGAAUGGGUCGGUUUUCUUUCUUUUUUUAAAAAAAUUCCAUUCAUUCUUUCAAAUUUCUUUUUAUUGCAUUUAUUUAUGUGUGUGCAUGUUCCUGUAUGUAUGUGUGUAUGCACACAAGCAUGCAAGCCGCAGCGUAAGUGUGGAGGUCAGAGGACAACUUUCAGGAGUUGGUUCUCUCCUUCCACCAUGCGGGUCCCGGAGAUUAAAAUCAAUCUGUCAGGUUUGGUGGCCAGUGCCCUCACCUGCUGGGUCAUCUCUCCAACCACCAUACCACCUCUUCCCUCCUCCUCCGAUUCCUUCUCGUCCCUCUCAUCUUAAUAAGAGAGAGUUACUAUGCAGCCCAAGCUGAUGUGGAACUUGCAACCCUCUUCUCUCAGCCUCCAGAACGCUAGCAUUACAGGUGCCACCACAUCAGACUUUUUCACUAAAACAGAGAACAUCUUAGGCAGGCAUGAGCAAUCCCAACAUGCAGCAGGGUGCCAGAAGUUCCGCCAUCAUCCCUGACUAUGUAGUGAGCUGGUGGCCAGCUUAAGCUACACGAGAGCCUGGCUCACGACAAACUGCUGGCUUCCUGUGGGGGCAUUUCCUUGACACCCCAAAUACUUGGAGGGCUGAAGAGAGGGUGGCUGAGAGUCCGAGGACAGAAAAACUGCUACAGAAUUGAAUGCUGUCCUCCACAAAAUAAGAAUCGCUUUCACUGGAGGUCAGUUACGGUUUGCUGUGGUAGGGACUGAACUUUGGGCAGGCUAGGCAAAUGCUCUACCACGGGGCUGUGUGUAUCCCAGCUCUCUCUUUUGUCUCUUGCGUUUAAGAGAAAAACAUUCUGUUGGUUUAGAAAUGUAUCUGGGGUAAUGGCCAAGAAAAGCCUUUUUACUGUCCAAUGUUCCCAACACACAAACAGCCCUGGGGACCAUGAGCUUCCAGGCAUUCUGUACCCCGUCCCCUUCCCCUCUCUAUUUUUCUCAGUUGAGGCUCCACCCGUAGAGCCUUGGAACGCCACCCAGAACCAGCAGGGACUCGGCAGCAGAGGCGCCAUUCAUAAUACGCAUCCUUGGCUAGACCUUGCGUGUCGGGAGGAAGGAAGGGUAGUGCUCGUUCAGCAAGCAGAACUCCAGCUCUUCCAAGAACGAAGGCUGGACUUCUCCCCUAGACUUCUUGCAGCAUCACAAUCGAAGGGGAAGUGAAGCCCCGCUCUGCUGCUCGAGACCAAUCUCAGUUCCCCUUGCUCAGUCAGGGCCGGUGAGGGUGCAGAGAGACUUGGCCUGGAGCUCAUGAGGAGCCCUGGUGACUCCCCACCAGUGACAUGACCCUCUCACUCACUUCCUCUGAGCAUGUGAUAAGAGGUACGUUUAUCUGCUUUGGGCAAAGCCAUGGUAUGAGUAGAGGCACAAAGUGGGUUAGAGGAAGCCAUGCCACCAGAGGGAACCGAAAGAAACCCAGGGUGAACGAUGACAGAAGGAGAGCGGAAGCACAAGGAGAAGCCAAACUGACUCCCACCACCGGCCCACUGCAGGGCAGGGUCUGCUUGCUCUUCACCUGAAGACACCGAGACUCAGCAAGACGAGGUGGUUAACCCGAAGGCACGUGGCAACAGGGCAACAAGACACUGGGACCCGGUGCCAACUGCACCGUAAGUGAUGCCAGUGCUUGGCCUUGGCUUCCCUUGUAGUCUCUCCGCAUCUCAGUGUUCUCAUCUGUAAAGUGGACUUGAUACACUGUCAGCAACAAAGUGCACUGCUCGGGAUGAAGAUGCGGCAGGUCCAGUGCCUUGCACACAGUGCAGGUGACAAGAAUAAGCACAUCAGCAGUUGUUCCAUAGGGCGAGCCCUACAUUCUGUUGCUUCUCAGCUGCUUUAGUGACCGCCCAUCCUGGCCGUCUUAGUUAGGGUUUUAUUGCUGUGAAGAGACACCAUGACCACGGCAACUCAUAAAGGAAAAUAUUAAUUGGGGCUGGCUUACAGGUCAGAGGUUUAGUCCAUUGUCAUCAUGGCAGGAAGCAUGGUGGCAUACAGGCAGACAUGGUGCUGGAGAAGGAGCUGAGAGUCCUACAUCUGAUCCUCAGGCAGCAGGAAGAGAGAGCAACACUGGGCCUGGCUUGAGCUUUUGAAACCUCAGAGCCCGCUCCCAGUGACACACUUCCUCCAACGAGGCCACACCUCCUAAUAGUGUCACUCCCUAUGGGCCUAUGGGGCCAUUUUCUUUCUUUUUUUAUUUUAUAUAAGAGAUUUUCUAGUCAUGUUACAUAUCAACCAUGGAUUCCCCUGUCCUCCCUCCUCCAACCCCCUGGCCCUCCCCCUCAAAACACCCCCCAUUCCCACCUCCUCCAAGGCAAGGUCUCCCCUGGGGAGUCAGCAGAGCCUGGUACAUUCAGUUGAGGCAGGUCCGAUCCCCUCCUCCCUGCACCAAGGCUGAGCAAAGUGUCUCAGCAUAGGUCCUAGGUUCCAAAAAGCCGGCACAUGCACUAAGGACAGGUCCAGGUCCCACUGCCUGGGGGCCUCCUAAACAGUUCAAGCUCAUCAACUGUCUCACUUAUCCAGAGGGCCUAGUCCAGUUCCAUGGGGGCUCCUCAGCUAUUGGUUCAUAGUUCAUGCGUUUCCACUAGUUUGGCUAUUUGUCCCUGUGCUUUUUCUAAUCAUGGUCUCGAUAUCUCUUGCUCAUAUAAUCCCUCCUCUCUCUCGUCGAUUGGACUCCUGGAGCUCCAUCUGGGGCCUGACUGUGGAUCUCUGCAUCUGCUUCCAUCAGUCAUUGGAUGAGAAUUCUAGCAUGACAGUUAGGGUGUUCGGCCAUCCGAUCACCAGAGCAGGUCAGCUCAGGCACUCUUUCGACCAUUGCCAGUAGUCUACAGUGGAAUCAUCUUUGUGGAUUUCUGGGGACCACUUUAGCACUCUGUGGGGCCAUUUUCAUUCAAACCACCACACUGGUUGUAUAUCCAGAGGAGGUGGAACCAAGGGAGCUUGCAGAUCCCCACACUCUCCUGACCCCAUGACAGGCUGCCCCUGAGACAUGGCCCCACCUUUUGCUCUCCUCUCCUUCCCUUGAGCCAGAUAUAGCAAGAGAGAGGGCAGAGGGACCCAGCUGCUGGCAGCUUCCUUCCCCACAUUUGGGACCCAAUAUUGUCUGUGCAUCAGAGGUGGCUUUGUGUCCUUGAGAUGCUAUGGCAAGUAAGAGAGUGAGCUGCCUUUGCUAGAAAGAGACCCUUGAGAAACCAGAGAAACAAAAAGAGACCCAGGGAAUAUGGGAUUGGCUGAUCUCAAGGAGAUAGUCCGAAGUGACCAGCAUGGUUCCCAUGUCUUAACAUAGCUGUGCCUUUGCAAAAACUCAGGUGGUGGCACACACUUUUAAUCCCAGUACUGGGGGCAGAGACAGGUGGAUCUCUGUGAGUUUAAGGUCAGCCUGGUCUACAGAGAGAGUUCCAGGACAGUCAGGGCUACACAAAGAAACUCUGUUUCAAAACAACAACAACAACAACAAAAAAAAAAACCCUCAGAACUAUAAUUGACAAAGGGUGAAUUUGACUAUAAGUAAAGUAAAAAUAAUUUAUUGAGACAAGUUUUCAUGUAUACCAGGCUGGUCUCAAACAUAUCUGCCUUCUGAGUGCUGGGAUUACAGAUAUGUGCCACCAUACCUGGUUCUGGGGAUCAAACCCAGGUCUUCAUGUGUGAUGGGCAAACAUUGCAACUAAACUAAAAUCCCAACCCUAAAAAAAAAAAGUGAAGAAAUUUGUCAGGCAAUAUAGCAUACCCUUGUAAUCCCAGCAAUUGUGAGAUAAAGACAAAAUGAUUGGUAGUUCAAGGCCAGCUUUGGCUACAUGAAGUCUUGUCUCAAAAAGAAAAGAAGGAAAAGGAGGAGGAGAAUAAAGAAGUGGAAAAAAGUUAAAAAUAAAAAAAUUAAAAUAUUC